CGACAUCCAACUUGAAAAAUGUAUGGGAUUUGACAUGUUCGAUUUGGUAACCAACAAAUCGAACAUGUCAAAUCCCAUACAUUUUCUAAGUUGGAUGUCU
rnacentral:pre_miRNA from 1 species